UGCCAAACUCGUGCCAAAGACUGUGC
rnacentral:piRNA from 2 species